rnacentral:rRNA from 1 species
AAUAUUGGACAAUGGGGGCAACCCUGAUCCAGCCAUGCCGCGUGUGUGAAGACGGCCUUCGGUUUGUAAAGCACUUUAAGUUGCUAGGAAGGGCUUCCGGUUAAUAUCCUGUAGUACUGCCGUUACCAACAGAAUAAGCACCUGCUCACUCUGUGCGUGCAGCCGCGGUAAUACAGAGGGUGCAAGCGUUAAUCGGAAUUACUGUGCGUAAAGGGCGCGUAGGUGGUUCAGUAAGAUGGGUGUGAAAUCCCCGGGCUUAACCUGGGAACUGCUUUCAUAACUGCUGAGCUAGAGUACGGUAGAGGGUAGUGGAAUUUCCUGUGUAGCGGUGAAAUGCGUAGAUAUAGGAAGGAACACCAGUGGCGAAGGCGACUACCGGGACUGAUACUGACACUGAGGUGCGAAAGCGUGGGGAGCAAAC